rnacentral:rRNA from 4 species
UAGACCGCCUGGGGAGUACGGCCGCAAGGUUAAAACUCAAAUGAAUUGACGGGGGCCCGCACAAGCGGUGGAGCAUGUGGUUUAAUUCGAUGCAACGCGAAGAACCUUACCUGGUCUUGACAUCCACAGAAGAAUCCAGAGAUGGAUUUGUGCCUUCGGGAACUGUGAGACAGGUGCUGCAUGGCUGUCGUCAGCUCGUGUUGUGAAAUGUUGGGUUAAGUCCCGCAACGAGCGCAACCCUUAUCCUUUGUUGCCAGCGAUUAGGUCGGGAACUCAAAGGAGACUGCCAGUGAUAAACUGGAGGAAGGUGGGGAUGACGUCAAGUCAUCAUGGCCCUUACGACCAGGGCUACACACGUGCUACAAUGGCGCAUACAAAGAGAAGCGACCUCGCGAGAGCAAGCGGACCUCAUAAAGUGCGUCGUAGUCCGGAUUGGAGUCUGCAACUCGACUCCAUGAAGUCGGAAUCGCUAGUAAUCGUGGAUCAGAAUGCCACGGUGAAUACGUUCCCGGGCCUUGUACACACCGCCCGUCACACCAUGGGAGUGGGUUGCAAAAGAAGUAGGUAGCUUAACCUUCGGGAGGGCGCUUACCACUUUGUGAUUCAUGACUGGGGUGAAGUCGUAACAAGGUAACCGUAGGGGAACCUGCGGUUGGAUCACCUCCUUACCUUAAAGAAGC